rnacentral:rRNA from 1 species
UUGGAGGGCAAGUCUGGUGCCAGCAGCCGCGGUAAUUCCAGCUCCAAUAGCGUAUAUUAAAGUUGUUGCAGUUAAAAAGCUCGUAGUUGAAUUUCGGGGUUAGUAGGUUGGUCAUGCCUCUGGUAUGUACUGGUCUCACUGAUUCCUCCUUCCUGAUGAACCUUAAUGCCAUUAAUUUGGUGUUUUGGGGAAUUUGGACUGUUACUUUGAAAAAAUUAGAGUGUUUAAAGCAGGCUCACGCUUGCAUACAUUAGCAUGGAAUAAUGAAAUAGGACGUUUGAUUCUAUUUUGUUGGUUUCUAGGAUCGACGUAAUGAUUAAUAGGGAUAGUUGGGGGCAUUAGUAUUCAAUUGUCAGAGGUGAAAUUCUUGGAUUUAUUGAAGACUAACUACUGCGAAAGCAUUUGCCAAGGAUGUUUUCAUUAAUCAAGAACGAAAGUUAGGGGAUCGAAGACGAUCAGAUACCGUCGUAGUCUUAACCAUAAACUAUGCCGACUAGGGAUCGGAUGAUGUUAAUUUUUUAAUGACUCAUUCGGCGCCUUACGGGAAAC